AUGUGUCGUUCAUACACAUGAUGAUUGAGUGUUCACGCUGUUGUAUGAGUUGUGCCUCCCCCAAAACUUAUUACAACAUGGGCACAUUACCCAUGUAACA